rnacentral:rRNA from 1 species
GCUAACUCUGUGCCAGCAGCCGCGGUAAUACAGAGGGUGCAAGCGUAAUCGGAAUUACUGGGCGUAAAGCGAGCGUAGGUGGCUUGAUAAGUCAGAUGUGAAAUCCCCGGGCUUAACCUGGGAACUGCAUCUGAAACUGUUAGGCUAGAGUAGGUGAGAGGAAGGUAGAAUUCCAGGUGUAGCGGUGAAAUGCGUAGAGAUCUGGAGGAAUACCGAUGGCGAAGGCAGCCUUCUGGCAUCAUACUGACACUGAGGCUCGAAAGCGUGGGUAGCAAACAGGAUUAGAUACCCUGGUAGUCCACGCCGUAAACGAUGUCUACUAGUCGUUGGGUCCCUUGAGGACUUAGUGACGCAGCUAACGCAAUAAGUAGACCGCCUGGGGAGUACGGCCGCAAGGUUAAAACUCAAAUGAAUUGACGGGGGCCCGCACAAGCGGUGGAGCAUGUGGUUUAAUUCGAUGCAACGCGAAGAACCUUACCUGGUCUUGACAU